GAUGAACGCUGGCGGCGUGCCUAAUACAUGCAAGUCGAGCGAACAGACGAGGAGCUUGCUCCUCUGACGUUAGCGGCGGACGGGUGAGUAACACGUGGAUAACCUACCUAUAAGACUGGGAUAACUUCGGGAAACCGGAGCUAAUACCGGAUAAUAUAUUUAACCGCAUUGUUCAAUAGUGAAAUACGGUUUUGCUGUCACUUAUAGAUGGAUCCGCGCCGCAUUAGCUAGUUGGUAAGGUAACGGCUUACCAAGGCAACGAUGCGUAGCCGACCUGAGAGGGGGAUCGGCCACACUGGAACAGAGACACGGUACAGACGCCUACGGGAGGCAGCAGUAGGGAAUCUUCCGCAAUGGGCGAAAGCAUGACGGAGCAACGCCGCGUGAGUGAUGAAGGUCUUCGGAUCGUAAAACUCUGUUAUUAGGGAAGAACAAAUGUGUAAGUAACUAUGCACGUCUUGACGGUACCCAAUCAGAAAGCCACGGCUAACUACGUG
rnacentral:rRNA from 1 species